rnacentral:lncRNA from 1 species
UGAAAAAGCGCCUCUCUAAACCGUGUGACAAAAAAUGGAGUGUUGAAAGUCCCGUUCAACACUCCAUGGAUGAACAUAUCAGGACGGAUCCUCCUGAUCAAAUCUAGGACAGCGUCCCUUGGACUGUUUUGCACUACUGUCUCAUCGGGUAUGUUCCCUAGCCUAUACAAACUGUUAACUAUCAGCACCUCAUCCCUUUGAAUCUCAAGCUCUUCAACCGUGAUGCUUUCCCACUUCUUCGCUAUGGCUUUAAAUACGAAAGGGACCUUAAAUCUUUUGCAGUACUUCUCCAGGCGACGCCCUGUCUCCUCAACCCUCUCUGCUGGCUUGAAACCAGGCUGGGGAAGAUCGAUUCCAGUAAUGCGAAGCUCUGGUGGUCCCCCAGGCCUCAUGGAUAGACCUUGUAUGAGGCAGGGCCAUUGGAAACCAUA